AACUUUUAACAACGGAUCUCUUGGUUCUCGCAUCGAUGAAGAACGUAGCAAAGUGCGAUAACUAGUGUGAAUUGCAUAUUCAGUGAAUCAUCGAGUCUUUGAACGCAUCUUGCACCUGCUGGUAUUCCAGCAGGUACGCCUGUUUCAGUAUCA
rnacentral:rRNA from 1 species